CGACUGUACAACCAUCAAGAUUAAUUGUCAGAUUCAACAGAAGAUCUCUUUGUUUCUUGGGACCUAGAACAAGCAUCUCUGUUUUGUCCUAGGUUAAAAGUAGAAAAUUUGUCAGUCAUCAUUCAGGUAGGUCCUAGCCAGUCAUCAUUCAGAUAAGUCCUCCUAGCCAGUCAUCAUUCAGGUAGGUCCUCCUAGUCAGUCAUCAUUCAGGUAGGUCCUCCAAGUCAGUCAUCAAUUUGGUAGUUCCUCAUAGUCAGUCAUCAUUCAGAUAGGUCUUAGCCAGUCAUCAUUCAGGUAAGUCCUCCUAGUCAGUCAUCAUUCAGGUAGGUCCUCCUAGCCAGUCAUCAUGCAGGUAGGUCCUCCUAGCCAGUCAUCAUUCAGGUAGGUACUAGCCAGUCAUCAUUCAGGAAGGUCCUCAUAGUCAGUCAUCAUUCAGGUAGGCCAUAGUCACUCGUCUUUCAGGUAGGUCAUAGUCAGUCACAGUGAGGAGAGGGCCUUGCUCUGUUUGUCUUUAGAAGGAUCUUAUCCUUCGUCUAGUUGUGUCUAGGGUUGCAAAAUUCCAAGAACUUUAAAUAAAUUCCCUGGUUUUCCCAAAAUCACAGUUGGAGGAUCCCAGAACCAGGAGGAAAUAAGCAGGAAAUCCGGAACCCUCCAACCAGGAUUUCUGGAAAACUAGGGAAUUUAUUGACAGUUCCCUGAAUUUUGUAACCCUAGUUGUGUCCCAAUAACUGUUCUUCAGAAGGAUGUCUCCACCAAAAUGUAUAAUAUUCCCUUGACCUUGUCCCUCCAUACACUCCCCGUCCUAUCCUAGGUCUCCCCCUGUCUAACUUAACUAGUAUUACAGAGUGUAGAAUACCACAUCAUUCAUUCCCCAAUUGAUAAGACUUUUGUAUUCUGUUUUUUGUCUUAUAUCUAGAAUA
rnacentral:lncRNA from 1 species